AUUGAACGCUGGCGGCAGGCUUAACACAUGCAAGUCGAGCGGGGGAAGGUAGCUUGCUACCGGACCUAGCGGCGGACGGGUGAGUAAUGCUUAGGAAUCUGCCUAUUAGUGGGGGACAACAUCUCGAAAGGGAUGCUAAUACCGCAUACGUCCUACGGGAGAAAGCAGGGGAUCUUCGGACCUUGCGCUAAUAGAUGAGCCUAAGUCGGAUUAGCUAGUUGGUGGGGUAAAGGCCUACCAAGGCGACGAUCUGUAGCGGGUCUGAGAGGAUGAUCCGCCACACUGGGACUGAGACACGGACCAGACUCCUACGGGAGGCAGCAGUGGGGAAUAUUGGACAAUAGGGGGAACCCUGAUCCAGCCAUGCCGCGUGUGUGAAGAAGGCCUUAUGGUUGUAAAGCACUUUAAGCGAGGAGGAGGCUCUUUUGGUUAAUACCCAAGAUGAGUGGACGUUACUCGCAGAAUAAGCACCGGCUAACUCUGUGCCAGCAGCCGCCGCGG
rnacentral:rRNA from 1 species